rnacentral:tRNA from 2 species
CAGAGAAUAGUUUAGUUUAGAAUUCUGGCUUUGGGAGCCAGGGGUGGGAGUUAAAAUCUCUCUUUUCUGG